rnacentral:rRNA from 1 species
AGUGAACGCUGCCGGUAGGCCUAACACAUGCAAGUCGAACGGCAGCACAGGAGAGCUUGCUCUCUGGGUGGCGAGUGGCGGACGGGUGAGGAAUACAUCGGAAUCUACCUUUUCGUGGGGGAUAACGUAGGGAAACUUACGCUAAUACCGCAUACGACCUACGGGUGAAAGUGGGGGACCGCAAGGCCUCACGCGAUUAGAUGAGCCGAUGUCCGAUUAGCUUGUUGGCGGGGUAAUGGCCCACCAAGGCGACGAUCGGUAGCUGGUCUGAGAGGAUGAUCAGGCACACUGGAACUGAGACACGGUCCAGACUCCUACGGGAGGCAGCAGUGGGGAAUAUUAGACAAUGGGCGCGAGCCUGAUCCAGCCAUACCGCGUGGGGGAAGAAGGCCGUCGGGUUGUAAAGCCCUUUUGUUGGGAAAGAAAUCCUAUCGGUUAAUAACCGGUGGGGAUGACGGUACCCAAAGAAUAAGCACCGGCUAACUUCGUGCCAGCCGCCGCCGUAAUAC